GAUGUAUAUUGCAGUAACAUAUCUAGAGAACAACAGAGCAGGAAUUACAGUGUACGGAUUCAUGCUGGAUCGAACAUGGCUUCACACCAUAUUUGGGAUUGAAUUAGCUCUAUUACUUUGGCUGCUCAACAAGACUCUUGUGAGUUGGUCGUGAAAGUAGCUCGAUUCACCUUUCUUCAUUUGCGAGGAAGAUGGGAGUCGAUCUGCAUACCGAGUUGAACAGCAUUUUUCGUACAGAAUCCCGGCGUGUUCUCCUAACAUAGUUUUUAUAAGAUGUCAUGUAUACACAGUAGAUCAUAUAUGAUUUUAUAUCAUUGUGCGUCUUCUUCUUUUUUUCCUUUUGGGGAUUAAGUCAUAAUUUUCUACAAGUCUAGGAUUUUUGACCUGCUUUGUUUGUAAUUUUGUAUACAACAGUAAUGAGAGUGAUAUUGACCAUCAGGUACUGUAAGUCAUUUGAAUGAUCAAUGAUAUUAAAUAGUUGACUUUUCUAAGUAA